rnacentral:rRNA from 1 species
AGUGAACGCUGGCGGUAGGCCUAACACAUGCAAGUCGAACGGCAGCACAGUAAGAGCUUGCUCUUAUGGGUGGCGAGUGGCGGACGGGUGAGGAAUACAUCGGAAUCUACUUUUUCGUGGGGGAUAACGUAGGGAAACUUACGCUAAUACCGCAUACGACCUACGGGUGAAAGCAGGGGAUCUUCGGACCUUGCGCGAUUGAUUGAGCCGAUGCCGGAUUAGCUAGUUGGCGGGGUAAAGGCCCACCAAGGCGACGAUCCGUAGCUGGUCUGAGAGGAUGAUCAGCCACCCUGGAACUGGGACAAGGUCCAGACUCCUGCGGGACGCAACAGUGGGGAAUAUUGGACCGUGGGCGCAAGCCUGAUCCUGCCAUACCGCGUGCGUGAAGAAGGCCUUCGGGUUGUAAAGCCCUUUUGUUCGGAAAGAACAGCAGCAGGUUAAUACCCCGCUGUUCUGACGGUACCCAAAGAAUAAGCACCGGCUAACUUCGUG